rnacentral:rRNA from 1 species
GAUGAACGCUAGCGGCAGGCUUAACACAUGCAAGUCGAGGGGUAACAGGGUGCUUGCACCGCUGACGACCGGCGCACGGGUGCGUAACGCGUAUACAAUCUACCUUUUACAGGGGGAUAGCCUUUAGAAAUGAAGAUUAAUAUCCUAUAGUAAGUUUUUAUGGCAUCAUAUGAACUUUAAAGUUUCGGCGGUAAAAGAUGAGUAUGCGUUCUAUUAGCUAGAUGGUGUGGUAACGGCACACCAUGGCAACGAUAGAUAGGGGCCCUGAGAGGGGGAUCCCCCACACUGGUACUGAGACACGGACCAGACUCCUACGGGAGGCAGCAGUGAGGAAUAUUGGACAAUGGGCGAGAGCCUGAUCCAGCCAUGCCGCGUGCAGGAAGACUGCCCUAUGGGUUGUAAACUGCUUUUAAACGGGAAGAAACCCUCGCUCGUGAGCGAGGCUGACGGUACCGUAAGAAU